rnacentral:lncRNA from 10 species
GAUUGGGGCGUGGGGGGAGAGGCGGGGGAAGGCGGAGGGAUGGGAACGGGGGAGAAGAAGGGCACCGCGGCGGGAGGGAAGAAACAGAGCGAGCUACGCUGCAGGAGCGCAGUUACCAGCCGGCUGCGAUCACGUGCCUGGGAGGAGGAGCUGAGACCUCAGGGGAGGGGCGCGCGGUAGCGUCCCGGGUCCCCUAGCAGGGCUCUAGAGACCACGUGAAGUCUCCUCGACAGCUGCUUUGCCUCAGGCAUAAAUCAGAAGAGGAAAACCAGCUUCUGGACCUGGAGAGAGGAUGAAAGGGAAUAGGAAUUGAGGGAAGCGGAAGGGAAGAAUAAGGGACCCCUGGAGAGUCCCUACCAAGCCAGACAUAACAAACAAAAGUCCUCUACUACUGAGGAAGACAGAACAGGGAAGCCAGCAGGGGAAGAAAAAGAUGCUGCUGCUCUUGAUGCCUCAAAAACAGCAAGGAAGAACCCAAGCAACUGAUGUACACACCCUUGGAACAAAUCUGCCCCAGAAGUACAAGACACACUCUUCGAAUUCAUGGAAUAAAUGGGAGGAGCUGGUGUAGUGAAGGAUGAAGAGAAGGCAAUGCAUUGGUUUAGACAAGCCUCCCAGCAGGACCAUCCUGGUGCUGCCUUUAACCUUGCAGUAGGAACACUGAAAAACAUGACUGCCUCCAUGGAAGCAGGGGAUGUAGAAAUGCUCCUUAAUGUUGCUGCAAAAUGGGGGAUCCAAGAAGCCCAAGAACUUCUGGAGAAUGUUAUUUGGACUAAAAGCAAGCUCUUGCCAACUGAAAGAACCAGGAGUUCUUAUAAACCAUAAUGUGUGCCUGCAUGCUCUUCCUGGAACAUGGGAUGUUCUGCUCUCACUUGUCCACUGUGGCCUUGCAAUGCUUUGUGGCAUUUUCAAUGGAAGCUCCUUUUACUUAUAGUCUCAUAUGCUGCUGCAGCAUUAAUUUGCUGGUUAAAAUCCUUUAAAUGAAGUGUUACUUAUAUGUUUUCCUGGGAUCUGAGUUUGAUCUCUUCUGGAUAGAGGAAUAUUUUAUUUGGGUUUCAUUACUGCUCACUUCAGCUAAAGUUUCAUUCAAGCCAGUGAGCAUUCUAUAACGUGGUAAGUGGAAAAUAACGAAGAAACCUGUCAUACCAGAGAUUGGCUUCUUGGAUGUGUUAGCUGGCACUCACAGAUCCACUGAAAGAGCUAGACUCAUCAUUAGCCUAAUCUAUGACAUGUGAUGUUCUGCCUAAAAUAAGCCUGUUUUCAUUUCUCUCCAUUUCAAUUUUCUGCUCUAUUAGGUUUCUAUAGUAUUUUAUUACACUCACUUUUUGUAUUAUAGAAAGUCCUUUAUAGGGGUAAAAAGGCUGUUAUUGUUGUCAAUUAAAGGGAAAAGGAUAAAGUAUAAGACCUAACAAUUAUUGACCAUCUGCCACAUGCAAGAUAUUUUCUUAGCUGUUUAACAUAUAUAUAUAUAUUUGAGACUGAGUUUCGCUCUUGUUGCUCAGGCUGGAGUACAAUGGCAUGAUCUCUACUCACUGCAACCUCAGCCUCUCAGGUUCAGGAUGUUAUCCUGCCUCAGCCUCCUGAGUAGCUGGGAUUACAUGCGUGCACCAUCACAUCCGGCUAGUUUUUUCAUUUUUAGUAGAGACGGGGUUUCACCAUGUUGGUCAGGCUGGUCUUGAACUUCUGACCUCAGGUGAUCUACCUGCCCUGCCCUCCCAAAAUGCUGGGAUUACAGGAGUGAGCCACCACGUCUGGCCUGCUUAACAAAUAUUUUAACAUUCACUAGUUAUAAAAGUCUUAUAAGGUGGAUCUUAUAACUCCUAUUUUACAGAGUGAAAACAGGUGUAGAGAAGUUGUGAUAUGUGCAAAGUCACAGAGUGAGUGAUAGAGUGGGGUUUUUAGUGCUGGCAGUCUGAUUCUAGAGUCAACAUUCUUAACCAGUUCUACCAACAUUACUCUCCCAAGUCAUUAACAUCUCUUUCCUAACAACAAAGAUGUUCUAAGAACAGAUAACUGGGUUUAUUACUGGCAUAUGGUGAACACUUAUCUUAGCAAAUAACUCAGCCCCAUUUUCUGACUAUGAUUUUUUUAAGGACAAACCACGUAGUCCUAUUCUUCAAAAGUGAUGUUUUUAACCUUAAUUAUAAUUAGCUGUAUUUAUCUCAUUUAGAUUAUAGCGCAAUUUUCUCCUUGGAAUAUACAUACAGAAACACAAAUUGAGGGUGACAAAAGUGUCAAACUGGAAUUCAAUAUGAUGAUUAAGCUGUGUUUAAAAUAUUUGUUUCCCUUUUGAUUGCCUUGUUUACACUGUAUACAUAUGGAAUAUGACUGUAAGCCUUCAGCAAUCUUCUCUUUGUCCAACGUGAACACAUAAACCUUUAAAGAUGUACAUGAAAUGGUCACAUGCAAUUUUAAAUUCUUUAAUGUAGAAAAUCCCAAAUUCAUAAACUAAAUUCUUCACGUGAACCUUUGGUAAUAGUAUUUUUAUCUUCUCUAGAAGCACUUUAUUUUUCUUACAUUUUUCCCAGAGAAACCAGUCUUCAUUUCAGUUUAUGUUGUUCAAGAUACAACUCUGGAAAUUUUAUUCUGUGCCACAAACACUUAUAAAAUACUAGGACAAUAAUUUCAAUCAUCGUGUUAGUGUGCAUUUUUUUAACCUUCACAGUAAUAUCCUCUUAACUGUCUUGUAAUUUAAAUGCUUGUUUACAGUAACAACCCAAACUUACAAGUAUGAAAAUAUACCAUAGGAAUAUGAUCACUAAAUAGUGUUUUUUUAUUUUAAAAAAUUCCUUUAGGUGUCUUCUAUAAACAUCUCCAACUAACAUUGAUUUAGGUUGUUUUAGGGUUCUAAUGUCUUCUAACAGUUCUUUGUUGUUGAAAUAAAGUAAUAGAGUAGUUGAAAAAGCAUAACAACAAUUAGAAAGACUUUGUAAAGCCUCACAUAUAAAACCCCUUCACUUUUAACUUCGGUAAUACUUGGGUUUAAGAUCGGGAAUAACCUACCAGUCCAUCAGGGUUGAAAAAUAAUGCUUCAUGCAAAACCAGAAAAUGUGAUGGAUGAGGAUUCCCCUGAAUCCAAAGCUCUGCUUCUACUUCCUUUGCUGUAUCUGGGCAAAAAUUCAGGGGAAAAGCAAGACAUAAGAAAGAAAUUGGAUCAUAAAGAGAGUGAGAGCAUGAGAGAAUGAGAAUGGAUUUGCAUGUGUUUGGCCGGUUCAGAUACCCCAGGUUCUGCUUGCUUUCUUCCUUCCCUGUGCUCCUUCUGGGCCACAGAGGUUGAGAACCUCUGCACUCUUUUAGAUGCCCCAGGUUUCCUAUUUAGCCAUUUGAUGUCUUGAUCCUUUUUCUCAAGGUCUGCCUUAAUGUUAAUAUAAAAAUAUUUUACAUUAAAUAUGACAUAUAUUUACAGUACACAUAUCUUAAAU